AUUGAACGCUGGCGGCAGGCCUAACACAUGCAAGUCGAGCGGAGCGGCGGACGGGUGAGUAAUGCCUAGGAAUCUGCCUGGUAGUGGGGGAUAACGUCCGGAAACGGGCGCUAAUACCGCAUACUAUCAGAUGAGCCUAGGUCGGAUUAGCUUUUUGGGGGGGUAAAGGCCUACCAAGGCGACGAUCCGUACCUGGUCUGAGAGGAUGAUCAGUCACAGUGGAACUGAGAGACGGUCCAGACGCCUACGGGAGGCAGCAGUGGGGAAUAGUGGCAAAUGGGGGAAAGCCUGAUCCAGCGAUGCCGGGUGUGUGAAGAAGGUCUUCGGAUUGUAAAGAAAUUUAAGUUGGGAAGCGGGAAGAAAAGAAUAAGCACCGGCUAACUUCGUGCCAGCAGCCGCGGUAAUAG
rnacentral:rRNA from 1 species